CACGCCCUAAACGAUGUCAACUAGUUGUUCGGUGAGGAGACUCAUUGAGUAACGCAGCUAACGCGUGAAGUUGACCGCCUGGGGAGUACGGCCGCAAGGUUAAAACUCAAAGGAAUUGACGGGGACCCGCACAAGCGGUGGAUGAUGUGGAUUAAUUCGAUGCAACGCGAAAAACCUUACCUACCCUUGACAUGCCAGGAACUUGCCAGAGAUGGCUUGGUGCCCGAAAGGGAGCCUGGACACAGGUGC
rnacentral:rRNA from 1 species